rnacentral:misc_RNA from 1 species
AGUGUUUCAUGCAUUCGUCGAUGUCCCACUUCCCGGUCAACACGGACAUGAUAAAGCAGAGUACCGUUCUGUCCGAGUUGAUCGUUUCACCUGUCCGUGCCGUCGAGAAGGAGCUGAUCCAUCCGAUUGUCAAUUUUGGCGAGUUGGGACCGAUUCGAUACACGGCCUACAUGUGUCCGUAAAUCCACUUCAUCGACGGCGGACGUUGUUCCAGUGCCCGGAACGUACGACAUUGUGAUCACCAAGGACUACUGCCGGAAUAACAGCCCGUCGAAGGUACUGGCGAUGCUGUUCGUGAUUGACAAUAAGGCCGGGCUGGUUCAAUUGCUGUGCGCGGAGUUCAAGAACAACAUUCGUCACUUGCCCGUGGAUGAGGGACAGGAGCGUGCUUCGAUUAAGGUCCAUGAAGCUUCAUCACUUACAGUCCCAGAUGGCGGUCGUCGGAGAUGUCCAGGAAAUGUUCAUGCCCUGCUGUUCACAUCCUGCUCGGACCAGCGCCAGCUGCGCGUGUUUAAUCUGAGCCUGAAGACGUGCAACCAGUUGGUGGAUAUUUUCCGCAGUAGCGAUUUGGAUACGACCAAUCUGUUCUUCGCCAAGCAGGGCCUGUUCAAGCUGCAGGAUAAUAAGCCGUAGGCAAUCAAGGACAGCCUGAUCAUGAGGGCGGCCCAGAUUUUGGCCUGCUACCGGAAGAACUGGGCAUCGUCUACGUCCGCCGACCAGCUCGUCUUGCCGAAUUGCGUGAAAUCGCUACCACUGUACAUUAAGUGUCUGCUGAGAACGUCGUCUUUUCGAGGGGUGCUGACAUCGGUUCCGGACUUUUACCCGUGGUUGACGCCGGUGCACGGAAAUCAGAGCGAUAUUCGUUCGAAUAUCUGUUGGUGUGCUAUUCGUAUCUGUCCGGAAUAUCAUUCGAUUCACAAUUAUCCUGUGCCACGUGAUGCUGAACGGUUUUGAAACAAGCUGGACAAGACCUUCAAGACAUCCAUCAAGGAACGUGGAGGAAGCGAAGAAAAUGUCCAUAGAAAAAUCAAACGAGAACUGCCCAAACUCAUGAAAGGAUGUUUCGAUGCUAUCCCGGGUUCGUCCGGUUCUGCAACCACGAAGGAUCGUCGUCCAAUUUGGAAAGCAGUGCUGAAAACUAGACUAGACUAGAAUUACGACGGGAAGGUGCACGGGAAUAAAGAAGGGAGUUUCUUUUCUUUAAAUCGGGACUAGUAAAACCGACACGCUUAUGAGCAAGUAAAAGAGGAAGAAUCGGUUGCGUUCAGUUCAAGAAAGACUCGAGCUAGAAUCACGUGUAAAACUUGACCGUCCGUGCAAAACUUAGACGCAACACUUUGGAAAAAGUUAUACAAUUGCAACAGCGACUAAUAAAUUUUGGUGUGAUAUUGAGUGGGAUGCGUUUUCUUUUAUAAAAAUAGCAUCCGCUGAGGGAAACUAACGUGCAUAAAUCAAUUAAUUCUUUUUUUAUAGUUUUAUUCAAAUCCUUUGUAAUAAAUCUGUUUUCGUCGAGCGUGGUGAAUAACUGGUUGAGUGCGU